UACGUAGGUGGCAAGCGUUAUCCGGAAUUAUUGGGCGUAAAGCGCUCGCAGGUGGUUUCUUAAGUCUGAUGUGAAAGCCCACGGCUCAACCGUGGAGGGUCAUUGGAAACUGGGAGACUUGAGUGCAGAAGAGGAAAGUGGAAUUCCAUGUGUAGCGGUGAAAUGCGUAGAGAUAUGGAGGAACACCAGUGGCGAAGGCGACUUUCUGGUCUGUAACUGACACUGAGGCGCGAAAGCGUGGGGAGCAAACAGG
rnacentral:rRNA from 1 species